rnacentral:misc_RNA from 1 species
CUUUUUUUUCUUUUUUUUUUUCUUGACUUUUUGUUUGAAUUAGUUAAAAGAUAUAUGUAUAAGCUCACUAUUGCAAGCUUGCAGCUAACCUUGUUUUUUAAGGAGUUCUUGUGAUUUUGCUGCCGUACUUUAAUGUAGAGUACCGGUUUUCUUAUGGUUUGGUAGAAGUUUGUCCUCUACAAAUGCUGGGACAUGUAAUCACCAUCUCGUUGCUUAUCUAUGUGGUCGCAUGAAUAGUAAUUUUUUAUUUAUCUGGUUCUUUUUUUAAGCUACCAAUAACUUGCCUCAUCAUAUUGAUGGUGUUCACAGUUCACACUAUCUUUGCCCCGUUCAACACUUGUAUUUGUUUAGUAGGAUUAUCUGUUUAACAGUUGUUGAACAAUUUUUUCCCUUCUCCUUCUCUAUAUGUUGCUUAAUUGCAUGCUAAAAUUCUGAUG